rnacentral:rRNA from 1 species
GAUGAACGCUGGCGGCGUGCCUAAUACAUGCAAGUCGAGCGAACAGACGAGGAGCUUGCUCCUCUGACGUUAGCGGCGGGCGGGUGAGUAACACGUGGAUAACCUACCUAUAGGACUGGGAUAACUUCGGGAAACCGGAUCUAAUACCGGAUAAUAUAUUGAACCGCAUGGUUCAAUAGUGAAAGACGGUUUUGCUGUCACUUAUAGAUGGAUCCGUGCCGCAUUAGCUAGUUGGUAAGGUAACGGCUUACCAAGGCGACGAUGCGUAGCCGACCUGAGAGGGUGAUCGGCCACACUGGAACUGAGACACGGUCCAGACUCCUACGGGAGGCAGCAGUAGGGAAUCUUCCGCAAAGGGCGAAAGCCUGACGGAGCAACGCCGCGUGAGUGAUGAAGGUCUUCGGAUCGUAAAACUCUGUUAUUAGGGAAGAACAAAUGUGUAAGUAACUAUGCACGUCUUGACGGUACCGAAUCAGAAAGCCACGGCUAACUACGUG